GCCGGAGUGGCGGAAUAGGUAGACGCAACGGACUUAAAAUCCGUUGGCUUUCGGGCCGUCCCGGUUCAAGUCCGGGCUCCGGUA
rnacentral:tRNA from 1 species